rnacentral:lncRNA from 1 species
CUUGAACUCCUGACCUCAAGUGAUCCACCUACCUCGGCCUCCCAAAGUGCUGGGAUUACAGGUGUGAGUCACCGUAUCUGGCCCCAUUUCCUCUUAUACCAUAAGUCAUUGCCUGAAGAUGUGUUUUCUCCAUUAGUUUGCAAAAGCUUCCUGAGAGUAGGUCUGUGCCUCAUUUAUUCUGGAAUCUCCCUGGCACAAAGCACAGGGCUUUAUCUUCAGUAGGCAUCCAACAAAUGUUUCAUUUCAUUCAACAGCUCCUCUUACCACUGCCUCCACCUUAUUUGCAGGUGGCUAAGUACAAUCGGAACAAGUAGGUAUCAUAAGAUUUAGUCCAGAGUCAAUUUGAGAAGAAAUUACUUUAGUGAUAUGAAAAUAAACCAUGCUAUUGAGUCAGAAUACUUCUGAGAAUAUCCCCUGUCCAAGCAUUUGCUGAAUUUCUAUGUACUAAUUUUCAGGUGGAACAGUAUGCUUGCAGAGGGUCCAUUUGGACAUAGAUACACUUUCAUACAUUCAUGUCUUUAACAAGAAUUUGUGUCCCUACUGUGUUUGUUCACUAACUCCUUUGAACCUACCACAUAAGCUAUAUCUGUAUUUUCCUUGUAAUUUGGGAGGUCCAGUGCUUCAUUACGCUCAUAUGCCUGAAACUAAUGAAGAAAAUAGCUCGUUAACCAGCUAGUAUAAAAGUAGCCACCAAAUCAAGUCAAUCACCUGCCUUAAAUUAGCCCAGUACUCCCAUCUUGAGCGGAGAAGCCCAUUCUGAAUCACAGUCAAGACAUUGAUGGAAAAACAACUCCCUCUGGGGAUCAAAACCACGCUCACUCCAAAUCCUCCUCCCCAGAGUUCUACUCAUUGCUCACCCACUGAACCCAGAACUAACCAGAAGUGCUUGAAAUGAGGACGGGUAGCUCCAUGUACCAAUCGGAAUUUAAAACUCUAUCAAUUCCUGCUAUAGAAAUGAGGCUUCUCCCCAGGACCAGCAUUCCACGAAGGCAGCCCUUUUCUAGAUGGAGAAAACAGAACCUGAAGACACCCGUUUCCCUAAACUGCUCUCGCUCAUGUAAACUCCUGGAGGGCAGAGGCAUGCCUGCCAUCUUCAUCAUUGCAUUACCACCACCCAACACUAUCGGGGGACCUGCCCUGAUAAUCAGUCUACAGGUGUAUCCAGCAGCUCCAGAGAGACAGCGACCAGCGAGAAGGGGCCAUGAUGAUGGUGGUGGUUUUGUCAAAACGAAAAGGGGGAUAUGUAGGGAAAAGAAAGAGAGAUCAGACUGUUACUGUGUCUACAUAGAAAGGGAAGCCAUAAGAGACUCCAUUUUGAAA